rnacentral:rRNA from 1 species
GAUGAACGCUGGCGGCGUGCCUAAUACAUGCAAGUCGAACGCAUUGAGAAAAGUGCUUGCACUUUUCAAUUUGAGUGGCGAACGGGUGAGUAACACGUGGGCAACCUACCUGAUAGCGGGGGAUAACGAGUGGAAACAUUCGCUAAUACCGCAUAACAAGAGAGAAGGCAUCUUCUUUAUUUAAAAGGCGCUUUGAAGCGUCACUAUCAGAUGGGCCCGCGGUGCAUUGGUUAGUUGGUGGGGUGAAGGCCUACCAAGACGAUGAUGCAUAGCCGAGUUGAGAGACUGAUCGGCCACAUUGGGACUGAGACACGGCCCAAACUCCUACGGGAGGCUGCAGUAGGGAAUCUUCCACAAUGGACGAAAGUCUGAUGGAGCAACGCCGCGUGUGUGAUGAAGGCUUUCGGGUCGUAAAGCACUGUUGUAUGGGAAGAAAUGCUAGGCUAGGAAAUGAGCUUAGUUUGACGGUACCAUACCAGAAAGGGACGGCUAAAUACGUGCCAGCAGCCGCCGUAA